UACGAAGGGGGCUAGCGUUGCUCGGAAUUAUUGGGCGUAAAGAGCUCGUAGGCGGUCUGUCGCGUCGGCUGUGAAAACCCGGGGCUCAACCCCGGGCCUGCAGUCGAUACGGGCAGACUAGAGUGCGGUAGGGGAGACUGGAAUUCCUGGUGUAGCGGUGAAAUGCGCAGAUAUCAGGAGGAACACCGGUGGCGAAGGCGGGUCUCUGGGCCGUAACUGACGCUGAGGAGCGAAAGCGUGGGGAGCGAACAGG
rnacentral:rRNA from 1 species